rnacentral:rRNA from 1 species
GAUGAACGCUGGCGGCGUGCCUAAUACAUGCAAGUCGAGCGAACAGACGAGGAGCUUGCUCCUCUGACGUUAGCGGCGGACGGGUGAGUAACACGUGGAUAACCUACCUAUAAGACUGGGAUAACUUCGGGAAACCGGAGCUAAUACCGGAUAAUAUAUUGAACCGCAUGGUUCAAUAGUGAAAGACGGUUUUGCUGUCACUUAUAGAUGGAUCCGCGCCGCAUUAGCUAGUUGGUAAGGUAACGGCUUACCAAGGCAACGAUGCGUAGCCGACCUGAGAGGGUGAACGGCCACACUGGAACUGAGGCACGGUCCAGACUCCUACGGGAGGCAGCAGUAGGGAAUCUUCCGCAAUGGGCGAAAGCCUGACGGAGCAACGCCGCGUGAGUGAUGAAGGUCUUCGGAUCGUAAAACUCUGUUAUUAGGGAAGAACAAAUGUGUAAGUAACUAUGCACGUCUUGACGGUACCUAAUCAGAAAGCCACGGCUAACUACGUG